GUAGGUGAACCUGCGGAAGGAUCAUUAACACGUUCCAAAACGUAUCAACCAAACGGUUAAGUGCAAACUUAUUCCCUAUCUGGGAAAGCUGUUCAACACUCCUUAGUGAUGGGUAAGUCUUCGGACUUGCAGGGAGGGUUGAGCUAGGGUCUCGAGCCCGGUGCUUUUCUUUAUAGGCUUUUUCCUUUUUUCUCCAUCACUUCCAACACACCAAUCUAACCCUCUUUAUAACCUUUGACUAAAUCUUUCG
rnacentral:misc_RNA from 1 species